GACAGCGCUGCAGACUGAACCGACCGUGGACUUUGAUACCGUCAUAAACUAAAGAGAGCAGCAGCAGCAGCAGCAUCCACUUUUGGGACUCUUACCUUCCAUUUCUUUUUUCAACUGGGUCACUGUAUUUAAAGGAAAUUAGCAUGCUAACCAGCUAGCCCCAUCCUGCCCUACUCCAAAUCCCCUGUGCUAGCAGUGUAAACACCAACACUCCUCUGGACCCCGAGCUCCCAGCGUGGACUGCUGGCUGCAGGGCCAGCUGAGCUAACUAGCUAACAGCAGCUACACAGAGCAACAUGGUAGCGAUUACUCUGGCGAUAUGCUGCCCCCUGUUGGCUUUAAGUAUAAAUUCAACAAGAGGCCAAACAUUCUGCACCUUCAUAUUAUAUUUAUAAAGCAGCAGGGUUCCGACCUCUGUCCCAUGUUGUUAGUGUUGUGUAGAUUUAAUUGAUCCCAGGUGUGUUCUUUUAUUAGUGUUGCCAUUGGAGACCUAGUUGUGCUCGUUUGCACCUGCCUCGUACUUCCUGUCUCAGUCUUUACUCUGUGUCUCUGCCUGUCAGUGGGACAUUCAUCAUCAAUCUCGGACCCUCUGGGGUUCUGUGCAGAGACACAACAUGUCUUCUUCGCAGGUUACUGCAGUGACCACUCCUUUCAACAUCCAUUUAUUUGUACACUUCCUUUGGUCCUCUGGUGGAUGUGGGGGUCGUUCAGGGACAGGAUACAGAGGUCCUCCAUGAUGACAUCCAGCUGUCCUCUGAUGGACAGAUUAGCCAUGAGGCUCUCUCAGGGUAAUGGGUCUUUAACCUGAGUCAUCUUAGUAAUAUAAAUGUUUACUGCUGUGGAUUGUUGACACCUGAGUUGGUUCAAUAGCCUGAUAGAUAUAAUGAUGACACGUGCAACAAUGAGAGCUGGUCAGCAUGUUUAUGCGUAUCCGAGCAUUAAGCUCUGUGCUAAUUGGUCCAUGAUGAAAUGUAAAGUGACCUAUAAAACAUGCGACAUAGGUCAACCAGAAACAUGUUUCACCAUUCUUGUGUAUUUUCAUUUCACAUUUCCUUAAGAAUCUUAUCUUUCCUUAUUAAAGAGUGAGCCGCCAUGAACUGUAGUAUUUCAGAUGGAUGGAUUUUCUUAUAUUGAAUGAAUGUUAGUGUGAUGUUACACAUUUCAUAUAAAGUUAUGUUUUCUGAUUCACUGUUACACUAAGGUUAACCACAAAGUGGCCCAAAUGUCAUCAGAGAUUUUGACUUCUGUUAUUAUUGCUGUUCCUCCUCCCCUCUCUCCUUCGUUGGUACACAAGCCUUAGCAUUCUGGAUGCCAGAAAAAAAAUAUGUACUCUAGUCAUGAAGACUGUGCUGAAUGUUUGUCCAUGAGCGAAAAAACAACUGAGGAAACAAGUUACAUAAAAGGAAGGAAGAGGACGUCCAGGAUGACCUGCUGUAAUGAGGCAGAAGCAGAUGGCAGUUUGGGAGAGUACAACAAAGACCUUCUAUGUGAUAGUUUGAUGGUUGUUAAAUAAUAUAUCUACAGACCGAGGCUGAAAAAUAGCAUAAAUAAUUAAUGCAAAAACCUCAAACAGAACUGUUAAAAUCUUUAUUUUCUACAAAGAAAUUUCUCUGAAAUAGUUUACAAAUGAUGCUCCAAGGCAAUCUUUCUCCUUAAGGCUCAACAAAUGACUUGACUGUGUCAGUCAGCUGGGAUGAUCAACACAUGCUGGAACAUAAACAGCAGCUUCCUGUCAGCAGUGACAUGAGGGUGAAGGAGGACCCAGGGUGAUAACAGAAGGCACAUGAAGUUCUGUCAGACUCACACUGCUGCGCACUAUCAAAGAAUCUGGCUUGUUACGCACUACACUUCAUACUAACUCUCGCUUCUGAUUGCUUGGCUAAUAAAAUAUAUAUAAAAUAUAUUAAGCAAUCCAUCGUUGGUCAAAUAUAUUUUGAAAUAUAAAUAGUUAAUUAGAUUCAAGUAUUGCAGGUUUAAAGCUACAAAGCAUGACCCAAGGUGAGUCAACUGAACACUAGCGCACUACUCUGCCAGAUAUCACACCGAGACUUCACAACAUACAAGGCUUCAAUCUUAAGGCUUCAAUAAUCUAUAUCUUUAUCUUAAUAAUGAAUAAAAUGAGUGGGUGGGAUGUGAAUGGGGGGGUGGGUAAUCAUCAGUCACCUUUCUGACUUCUUGAAGCGGACACUGGACUUGAAUUUCUCAGACACAUAAAUUAAUGAUAAAGUUAACCUGGGACUUUUGGAUGUGUAAAUAAGCAACUGUUUGAAAGCACUUUUGCAAUGUAACGUUCCCAAAGAGAUACCAGACAUAAAUUAUAUCUUUCACAUGUUUCACUUCCCGUAAAGUGACCAAUACAACAAAA